rnacentral:lncRNA from 1 species
CGGGUCCUACCUGGAGCGACACCGCGCGGCAGGGCGCCAGGCUCCGCGGCGUGGGCCGCCGCCGCGCCCGCCCCAGAGGUCGUUUCCCCUGCAGUUUCCAACAUGGCAGGCAGGCAGGUUUUAUAGACAUGGACAAGAAGUCUGCACACAGAAGUUCUGAGGAUGCCAGGACCGGCAAAAGUGGAGGUAAACACAAACAAAAGAAAAGAGAAAAGCAAAACCAAGAACACCACCGAUCCCGACAUAGGUCAACAUCUCAUUCUUCAGAUGACUGUGUGUUUCCUUCUUCUGUAUCAUCUUCAGGAAGCCACACGGAUUCAAGUCUAGAAGGUGCUGCCAAGGGAAGAAUUAAGAGAAAGAGAGGAAAGAAAAGGAGUAAACGGAGAAAAGAAAGAAAGGUAACUGGGGAUAAUUUAAUACAGGAAGAAAAUUUAGCUAUCCGAGUAUUCCGCGCUUUCUUGCUAAUAAAGGAAAACAGCCUACACGGGACUUUGCAGAGCUGGAAGGAACGAGUGGUGAACAUGCCGUUAACAUGGAGCUAAUCGAAUAGUAUCCUUUUUCUUUUCAAAUACUGUAAUCGAAGUUUCACCUUCUCAGGUGUCAGUUACCUGAAGCACACUGUGGUCCGAACCUACUAAAUGGAAGAAUUCCAAAGAUAGACCAGUCGUAAGUUUUCACUUUUGUCCAUUCUGAGUAGUGUGAUAAAACCUCACGCCAUCCUACUCCGUCCCACUCUGGAUGGGAAUCAUCUUUGUCCAGCAUAUCCACGCUAUAUAUGCUACCCACCCCGGGUCACCUAGUAGCCAUCUCCGUUAUUGGAUCAUCAGCUGUCACAGGACUGUAGUUCUUGUGGUCAGGUACCCUUAUUUUACUUAAAAUGGCUCCAAAGCCAAAGAGUAGUGAUGCUGGCAAUUUGGAUAUUCUCUUACUGUGGCUGAUUU